rnacentral:rRNA from 1 species
ACGCACGCUGGCGGCAUGCCUAAUACAUGCAAGUUGAACGAUGAUAUUCUCUGCUUGCAGAGAAUUGAAGAGUAGCGAACGGGUGAGUAACACGUGGGGAACCUGCCCAUGAGAGGGGGAUAACAUUCGGAAACGGAUGCUAAUACCGCAUAAUGCUUUGGACCGCCUGGUCCAGAGACGAAAGACGGCUUUUGCCGUCACUCAUGGAUGGCCCCGCGCCGUAUUAGCUAGUUGGUGAGGUAAUGGCUCACCAAAGCUGUGAUACGUAGCCGACCUGAGAGGGUGAUCGGCCACACUGGGACUGAGACACGGCCCAGACUCCUACGGGAGGCAGCAGUAGGGAAUCUUCCACAAUGGGCGAAAGCCUGAUGGAGCAAUGCCGCGUGAAUGAAGAAGGUCUUCGGAUCGUAAAGUUCUGUUAUUAGAGAAGAACAAGUCAAGGAGUAACUGUCUUGACUUUGACGGUACCUAACCAGAAAGUCACGGCUAACUACGUG